UUCGAUUAAAAUCGAAUUAACUGACCGAAUUGAUCCAAUUCGGUUAAUCGGUCAAUGGCCAAAUUUAGUUCGGUCGGAGGUCGGUUAAUGAGUUUUGGAAUUUGGUUAUAUGUUAAUUUAGUUCGAAAUUGAGUAAUUAACAGAAUUAACCAAUUAACCAAAAUAAAUAAUAUAUUAUAUAUGAUUGUUAAUGUAACAACCCAUUUUCUAGUAGUUUCGAGACCAC
rnacentral:lncRNA from 1 species